AGGGCUGAUCAUCCAUAUGGUGUCUGUCCUGCAGGUCUGAAGAUUAAACACCAGUAUCUGCAGAGUGUCUCAAACAAAGCCUUGCCCAGGGAAGGGAUGACACACCCUGCUGUGUGACUCCCUGUUAUUCUUCCUCUUAUGCUCCCAUUUCACAGCUGAGAAGACUGAAAUUUGAUGAUAGGAACCUGUUUCAGUACUGGAUUUGCCCAGAGUUUGGAAACAAGGUCAUGACUCCUCCAGAAGCAGGACUGCUGUUUCAUUGUCCCCACCUUGAGAUGGAAACUGGAGUCUGGACAACAGUAUGACGAAAGCCCCCGUGCCAGAAGCCAGCGCUGAGGCCCAGGAACAGUUUGGAUAACACGGACUGUGUUGGUCAAACAGACUUGGAAACAACAAACAGAAAUACAUCAGGCCGCGCUUCGGCUCCAGGAGCGACCUCCGUGUCAGGGGAAGGUUAUUUCAGGCUUGUAAAGGAAGUCCAGCCGCCGAGAGCCAAGAAGGCAAGCCAGGACCCUGGCAAGGAAGGACAGAGUCGCCUUCCGUUUUCCUAACUGUGAAGGGCUUUUGAACAGCAAAGUCCACACUAACGACCCGUGCGUACUGCUGUGUCUCCGGAACUGUGUGCCAGGAAUUUGCCGCAGACUUGGUUGUCAUUCUGCAGUCAUCAGGCAAGAACCAAAGACCAGUCAGACAAGUCUCCAGGGGGACAUAAAGAGAAAAAAGUAGAGAUAGGUGACGAGACGUGGAGAAGGCAGAGCCUGACCAGAAACGGAAGGCGGCGCCUGUGGAGUGAAAAGCUCAAGGUCCAGUUAGAGACUCAGCGGAUCCCUGGACGUCAUGAGAAGCUGCACGGACUCUCCAUUCUUACUUGGGUACCUACGUGAACGCCUGCCUCAGAUCAUUCGAGAUUAGCAGGACAACAACUAUAACUCACACAUGAGAGCUUCCGCAUCAGGAUGUAGAAUGAUUCAGAGACAUUAUCUCAUUAAUCUGUGCCACUCUGAAGAACAGGUGGCAAAACAAGACCUUAACACCAGCACUCCCAAGUCCAGGACUGCUGAGCUAACCACCACACUGAGUUAGACUUGAUCUUAGCCAAAAGGCCGAGCAGCGAUCCCACCACGUUGAAUGGAGGCUGAGGCUCCGUCUGGGCGGAUUGUGAUUGAGUGAUGAAAGCUUCCUCAGGAGUGUCCAUGCUCUAGAGCGUUGCUUUGUUGUUUUUGUGUUGUUUUAUUUGUUUGAAAGGCAGAGUUAGGGAGAGACGGGGGGAGAGCUUCUAUCUGCUGGUUCAUUCCCUUAAAUGGCCAAAAGGGCCAGAACGGGGCAGGUCUCAAGUCAGGAGCCAGGAGCUUCCUCCAGGUCUCCCACGUGGGUGCAGAGGCCCAAGCACUUGGGCCAUCGUCUGCUGCUUUCCGUCAGGUUAGCACCGUGCUGGAUCAGAAGUGUAGCAGCCAGCGCAUGAACCAGCGACCAUCUGGGAUGCUGGCACCACAGGCGGAGGCCUAACCUGGUAUGCCACAGUGCUAGCCUCUAGAGCACUGCUUUCUAAGCUGGGCUGUAGGUCAAAGGUCAAGUUCAGGGUGUCUGCCUUCAAGAGCUCUGAAGUCAUCUCUUGUGUAAUCAUUACAGUGCAGACGGCUCCAGCCCAGGGUGUCUCAAGUAAAAAUGACACAGUCACACUCGUGUACACGGGACUAAGCCCAUUGAAAGAGAGCUCCCAAAUGCCUGCAGCAGGCAGGGCUGGGCCAGGCCGGAGCCAGGAUCCAGGAACUCCAUCCAGAUCUCCCUCCUGGGUGGCAGGGACCAAGAUGGUUGCUGCUUCCCCCGGUCUGCGUUAGCAGGAAGCUGGAGUCAGGAGCCAGAAGGAGGUGUGAAACCCAGGUACUCUGAUGUGAGAUGCAGGGUGCGUAAGCAGUGUCUUAGCCAUUAGGCCGAACGCCCACCCCUGAGUUCCAUACUGAGCGUGGACGCCACCCUCCCCCAGUUGCUUAGACUGGAGUCCAGUGGUGGUGCCCACUGGGUCAGACCCCUGGCUCUGCCACCCUGCUCAUUUGCCAUGUCAUUCAUGGUGAUGUCAGAGGCUGGCUUGGGGGGACAUUAACACACCCCUUUAUCACCGUCAUUUCACAGCAAAUGCGGUCACAACUGGAUGAAGCCUUUAAGCCACUUCUGUAUAUCAGAAUUGUAGAGAUGCGGCUGCAUUCGUCUUUCACAAGCAUUCCGAACACUGAGGUUGCCAAGAACCAGCUCUGCCCAGGUCCCUACCCAUGCCCAGAGCUGCAGAGCUGGGGUCGUGCUAGCUUGGGCUCAGGUGCAGGCAGGAUAGAGUUAGGAAGAGGGCCGGCGCCGUGGCUCACUAGGCUAAUCCUCCGCCUAGCGGCACCAGCACACCGGGUUCUAGUCCCGGUCGGGGCGCCAGAUUCUGUCCCAGUUGCCCCUCUUCCAGGCCAGCUCUCUGCUGUGGCCCCGGAGUGCAGUGGAGGAUGGCCCAAGUGCUUGGGCCCUGCACCCCAUGGGAGACCAGGAGAAGUACCUGGCUCCUGCCUUCGGAUCAGCGCAGUGCGCCGGCUACAGCGCGCCAGCCGCGGCGGCCAUUGGAGGUUGAACCAACGGCAAAGGAAGACCUUUCUCUCUGUCUCUCUCUCUCACUGUCCACUCUGCCUGUCAAAAAAAAAAAAAAAAAGUUAGGAAGAGAAUUCUGGUUUCUCUGCUCCAAGGCUGGGAAAGAGCCUAGCAAAGGACCCAGCAUGUAGCUGUCCCUAGACAUUCUCACUCAGCAAAGCUGGAAGUGGGAACUCCAGUAGAUGCCUGUGGCACCUUUCAGAAGAAACAGCUAACUCUUAGUGAGCCUCCAACUCCAUAGAUGCCUUUUGUGACCCACGCCUCCAUCAGGGAUGCUGUCCCCAGCACAGAGCAGAAUGCUCUGCGGACUCACUGCAACACUGGCCAUUGAGUCCAGUGUGACCUCACAGA